AAGAAUGUGUCUGUAUGUCUGUAACAACUUGACCUGUGGUAAAACCAAACCCAUUUAAACAAACCUCUUUGUUAUGAUAUGACCUUAAGGUCAUUAAAACUGACAGGUAUUUUUCUGUAUUAUCCAACUUUUCUCAGAAAAUUUUUCAUCAUAAGAUAAAAUAUGCUUUAGGACAAGAUAGAAGUUUCACUUUUCUAUCAAAGACCACUAUUACUAUAUCAGAUAUGGAUCAAACAAUUGAAGGUUGAGUGUAAGGUUACUAAAGUUAGUUAUAAUGCCAAUAUAAUGCAAGUGCUGUUCUUGUCCUCCCUCUCAGCAGCAUAAUAAGAUGAGAUACCAAAUGAUCCUAUUUGUAGUAGUAAAACAAGAUCAACUAUAUUUGAGGGUAAUCAGAGGCAAAAAUCAGUAAUUUGAAAAAUGCUCUUGAUGUAACCGCCAUAAAGUCUUAGUCCAUAGCUUAGAUACUAGGCUGUAAUUCUUUAUCUGUGGGGAAACUUCAGGACUAUAAGCAGUCCUUUCAAGUAACUCAUGAAGAUGUUGAUUUGGUUGAUCUGGCUGGCUAGGCAGAUGCCCCCUUCCUCCUUCACUGUUCCGUGUGGAUCCCUCCCGAAGCUACAUUGAAGAGGCUGACCAUCCAACCAUCCCUGAGGGAGGAGGACCGGUCUUCCGUCAAGGGUAAAUGAGUAGCUGUGCUCCCCGCUAGAACCUCCAAACAAGCUCUCAAGUAAUUCAUGGACAAAUGUUACUAUCUCAAAACAUAGCAUAUUUUUUAAAUCUGCAUUUAAAAAAAAAUUCAAAGCUGGGCACUGGUGGCUCACACCUGUAAUCCUAGCUACACAGUAGGCUGAGAUCUGAGGGUCUU